CAGAGUGUGAGAGAAGCCAGUAAUAAAAAGUAUCUGGGUCAUUUCUUCUUGCAGUGAGAGCAGAGCCCUCACAGACACUGAGAGACAAGCUCGAGUGAAUCCGUCCAUCAGAGUGUAAGAUGAACUUGCCCUACAGCUGGUGGAGAGGUCCCACACCAGGAAAAGCAGUCUUCAGCCUGGAUGGAUGCUUGAAGCCAUCCCAGUAUUCCGUUCUCCCAUGUGUGGUGCCUACUGGGAUAUUUGAUGCCUUGGAGCCUCUUAAUCCAACUGUGCUGUGUCUGAGCUGGUAUUGGUGAUGUCCACCACUGGAGGGGAUGGAAACACAAACAGAUGCUGGCCCACACAGCUGAUGAGCUAUAUCUUUCUUUGCCCAGUUCCUCACUGAGGAAGUCCAGGACAGGGACUGCUGAGUGGAGACAGUGCCUGUGAAGGACUUAAGGCUGGACAGUGUCACCCACCCAGUUCUGCUGAGGAGUCCAGUGUAUCCCAAACCAAACAAGAACCUGCAGUUGUAGCAUCAAGCAACACCCUGAAAACCAGAGUCC